rnacentral:rRNA from 1 species
AUUGAACGCUGGCGGCAUGCCUUACACAUGCAAGUCGAACGGUAACAGGUCUUCGGAUGCUGACGAGUGGCGAACGGGUGAGUAAUACAUCGGAACGUGCCCGAUCGUGGGGGAUAACGAAGCGAAAGCUUUGCUAAUACCGCAUAAGAUCUAAGGAUGGAAGCAGGGGGCCGCAAGGCCUUGCGCGAACGGAGCGGCCGAUGGCAGAUUAGGUAGUUGGUGGGAUAAAAGCUCACCAAGCCAACGAUCUGUAGCUGGUCUGAGAGGACGACCAGCCACACUGGGACUGAGACACGGCCCAGACUCCUACGGGAGGCAGCAGUGGGGAAUUUUGGACAAUGGGCGAAAGCCUGAUCCAGCAAUGCCGCGUGCAGGAAGAAGGCCUUCGGGUUGUAAACUGCUUUUGUACGGAGCGAAAAGGUCUCCUCUAAUACAGGGGGCUCAUGACGGUACCGUAAGAAUAAGCACCGGCUAACUACGUGCCAGCCGCCGCCGUAAUAC